GGGGAAUUUUCCGCAAUGGGCGAAAGCCUGACGGAGCAAUACCGCGUGAGGGAGGAAGGCUCUUGGGUCGUAAACCUCUUUUCUCAGGGAAGAAAAAAAUGACGGUACCUGAGGAAUAAGCAUCGGCUAACUCCGUGCCAGCAGCCGGGGUAAUACGGAGGAUGCAAGCGUUAUCCGGAAUGAUUGGGCGUAAAGCGUCCGCAGGUGGCUGUGUAAGUCUGCUGUUAAAGAAUGAGGCUCAACCUCAUCAAAGCAGUGGAAACUACACGGCUAGAGUGCGUUCGGGGCAGAGGGAAUUCCUGGUGUAGCGGUGAAAUGCGUAGAGAUCAGGAAGAACACCGGUGGCGAAAGCGCUCUGCUAGGCCGCAACUGACACUGAGGGACGAAAGCUAGGGGAGCGAAUGGGAUUAGAUACCACAGUAGUCCUAGCCGUAAACGAUGGAUACUAGGCGUGGCUUGUAUCGACCCGAGCCGUGCCGUAGCUAACGCGUUAAGUAUCCCGCCUGGGGAGUACGCACGCAAGUGUGAAACUCAAAGGAAUUGACGGGGGCCCGCACAAGCGGUGGAGUAUGUGGUUUAAUUCGAUGCAACGCGAAGAACCUUACCAAGACUUGACAUGUCGCGAAUCCUCUUGAAAGGGAGGAGUGCCUUCGGGAGCGCGAACACAGGUGGUGCAUGGCUGUCGUCAGCUCGUGUCGUGAGAUGUUGGGUUAAGUCCCGCAACGAGCGCAACCCUCGUUUUUAGUUGCCAGCAUUAAGUUGGGCACUCUAGAGAGACUGCCGGUGACAAACCGGAGGAAGGUGGGGAUGACGUCAAGUCAGCAUGCCCCUUACGUCUUGGGCUACACACGUACUACAAUGCUACGGACAAAGGGCAGCUACACAGCGAUGUGAUGCAAAUCUCAGAAACCGUAGCUCAGUUCAGAUCGCAGGCUGCAACUCGCCUGCGUGAAGGAGGAAUCGCUAGUAAUUGCAGGCCAGCAUACUGCAGUGAAUUCGUUCCCGGGCCUUGUACACACCGCCCGUCACACCAUGGAAGCUGGCAACGCCCGAAGUCAUUACUCCAACCUUUCGGGGAGGAGGAUGCCUAAGGCAGUGCUGGUGACUGGGGUGAAGUCGUAACAAGGUAGCCGUACCGGAAGGUGUGGCUGGAUCACCUCCU
rnacentral:rRNA from 1 species